UAUUGAUUGGAAUAUUCAAAGCCU
rnacentral:piRNA from 1 species